AAUCCGUGUUGCAGACACUUUCUGUGGAGUCCCUUGAACCUCUUCCACGUCUCAAAUAGAGAUUCUAAUUCCAACUGUACAAAGGACAAGAUCUCAUUCCUAUGCUU